rnacentral:rRNA from 1 species
UACAGAGGGUGCGAGCGUUAAUCGGAAUUACUGGGCGUAAAGCGUGCGUAGACGGCUAUCUAAGUCGGGUGUGAAAGCCCCGGGCUCAACCUGGGAAUUGCAUUCGAGACUGAAUAGCUAGGGUGCGGUAGAGGGAAGCGGAAUUUCCGGUGUAGCGGUGAAAUGCGUAGAUAUCGGAAGGAACAUCAGUGGCGAAAGCGGCUUCCUGGACCAGCACCGACGUCAGGCACGAAAGCCGUGGGGAGCAAACAGGA